rnacentral:tRNA from 1 species
UCCCUGGUGGUCCAGUGACUAAGACUCCAUGCUCCCAAUGCAGGGGGCCUGGGUUCAAUCCCUGGCCAGGGAA